rnacentral:rRNA from 1 species
UUUUAACGGCCGCAGUAUACUGACUGUGCAAAGGUAGCAUAAUCAAUAGUCUUUUAAUUGAAGGCUUGAAUGAAUGGUUGGACGAGAUAUUAGCUGUUUCAUUUAAAUUUAUAAUAAAAUUUUAUUUUUUAGUUAAAAAGCUAAAAUAAAUUUAAAAGACGAGAAGACCCUAUAAAUCUUUAUAUUUAAUUUAUUAUAAAUUUUUAGAAGAUUUUUUUUAUAAUAAUUAUAAUAUUUUAUUGGGGUGAUAUUAAAAUUUAAUAAACUUUUAAUUUUUUAUUACAUUAAUUUAUGAUUUAUUGAUCCAUUAUUAUUGAUUAAAAAUUUAAGUUACUUUAGGGAUAACAGCGUAAUUUUUUUGGAGAGUUCAUAUCGAUAAAAAAUAUUGCGACCUCGAUGUUGGAUUAAGAUAUAAUUUUAGGUG